AAAACUUUCAACAACGGAUCUCUUGGUUCUGGCAUCGAUGAAGAACGCAGCGAAAUGCGAUAAGUAAUGUGAAUUGCAGAAUUCAGUGAAUCAUCGAAUCUUUGAACGCACAUUGCGCCCGCCAGCACUCUGGCGGGCAUGCCUGUCCGAGCGUCAUU
rnacentral:rRNA from 2 species